CCUACGGGGGGCUGCAGUGAGGAAUAUUGCACAAUGGAGGAAACUCUGAUGCAGCAACGCCGCGUGGAGGAUGACGCAUUUCGGUGUGUAAACUCCUUUUAAGAGGGAAGAUAAUGACGGUACCUCUUGAAUAAGCACCGGCUAACUCCGUGCCAGCAGCCGCGGUAAUACGGAGGGUGCAAGCGUUACUCGGAAUCACUGGGCGUAAAGGGUGCGUAGGCUGGCUUCUAAGUCAGAUGUGAAAUCCAAUGGCUUAACCAUUGAACUGCAUUUGAAACUGGGAGCCUAGAGUUCAGAAGGGGCAGAUGGAAUUAGUGGUGUAGGGGUAAAAUCCGUAGAUAUCACUAGGAAUAUCAAAAGCGAAGGCGAUCUGCUGGGAUGAUACUGACGCUGAGGCACGAAAGCGUGGGGAGCAAACAGGCUUAGAUACCCCAGUAGUC
rnacentral:rRNA from 1 species